rnacentral:rRNA from 1 species
AGCGAACGCUGGCGGCAGGCCUAACACAUGCAAGUCGAACGGAUCCUUCGGGAAUAGUGGCGGACGGGUGAGUAACACGUGGGAACGUGCCCUUUGGUUCGGAACAACUCAGGGAAACUUGAGCUAAUACCGGAUGUGCCCUUCGGGGGAAAGAUUUAUCGCCAUUGGAGCGGCCCGCGUCUGAUUAGCUAGUUGGUGAGGUAACGGCCCACCAAGGCGACGAUCAGUAGCUGGUCUGAGAGGAUGAUCAGCCACACUGGGACUGAGACACGGCCCAGACUCCUACGGGAGGCAGCAGUGGGGAAUCUUGCGCAAUGGGCGAAAGCCUGACGCAGCCAUGCCGCGUGAAUGAUGAAGGUCUUAGGAUUGUAAAAUUCUUUCAGCGGGGACGAUAAUGACGGUACCCGCAGAAGAAGCUCCGGCUAACUUCGUG